GGGUGAGUAACGCGUAAGGAACUUGCCUCUUGGACUGGGACAACUGUUGGAAACGACAGCUAAUACCAGAUAUUAUGAGAUUCUCGCAUGAGAAACUUAUGAAAGCUAUAUGCGCCAAGAGAGAGCCUUGCGUUCCAUUAGCUAGUUGGUGGGGUAACGGCCCACCAAGGCGACGAUGGAUAGCCGGCCUGAGAGGGUGAACGGCCACAAGGGGACUGAGACACGGCCCUUACUCCUACGGGAGGCAGCAGUGGGGAAUAUUGGACAAUGGGCCACAAGCCUGAUCCAGCAAUUCUGUGUGCACGAUGAAGGUCUUCGGAUUGUAAAGUGCUUUCAGUUGGGAAGAAGAAAGUGACGGUACCAACAGAAGAAGCGACGGCUAAAUACGUGCCAGCAGCCGCGGUAAUACGUAUGUCGCAAGCGUUAUCCGGAUUUAUUGGGCGUAAAGCGCGUCUAGGCGGAAAAAUAAGUCUGAUGUUAAAAUGCGGGGCUCAACUCCGUAUUGCGUUGGAAACUGUUUUUCUAGAGUACUGGAGAGGUGGGCGGAACUACAAGUGUAGAGGUGAAAUUCGUAGAUAUUUGUAGGAAUGCCGAUGGAGAAGUCAGCUCACUGGACAGAUACUGACGCUGAAGCGCGAAAGCGUGGGGAGCAAACAGG
rnacentral:rRNA from 1 species